GUGGGGAAUCUUGCGCAAUGGGCGAAAGCCUGACGCAGCCAUGCCGCGUGAAUGAUGAAGGUCUUAGGAUUGUAAAAUUCUUUCACCGGGGACGAUAAUGACGGUACCCGGAGAAGAAGCCCCGGCUAACUUCGUGCCAGCAGCCGCGGCAAUACGAAGGGGGCUAGCGUUGCUCGGAAUUACUGGGCGUAAAGGGCGCGUAGGCGGACAGUUUAGUCAGAGGUGAAAGCGCAGGGCUCAACCUUGGAAUUGCCUUUGAUACUGGCUGGCUUGAGUACGGGAGAGGUGAGUGGAGCUCCGAGUGUAGAGGUGAAAUUCGUAGAUAUUCGGAAGAACACCAGUGGCGAAGGCGACUCACUGGCCCGUUACUGACGCUGAGGCGCGAAAGCGUGGGGAGAAAACAGGAUUAGAAACCCGGGUAGUCC
rnacentral:rRNA from 1 species